GAUGAACGCUGGCGGCGUGCUUAACACAUGCAAGUCGAACGAUGAAGCCCAGCUUGCUGGGUGGUUUAGUGGCGAACGGGUGAGUAACACGUGAGUAACCUGCCCUUAACUCUGGGAUAAGCCUGGAAGACUGGGUCUAAUACCGGAUAGGAGCGUCCACCGCAGGGUGGGUGUUGGAGAGAUUUAUCGGUUUUGGAUGGACUCGCGGCCUAUCAGCUUGUUGGUGGGGUAAUGGCUCACCAAGGCGACGACGGGUAGCCGGCCUGAGAGGGUGACCGGCCACACUGGGACUGAGACACGGCCCAGACUCCUACGGGAGGCAGCAGUGGGGAAUAUUGCACAAUGGGCGCAAGCCUGAUGCAGCGACGCCGCGUGAGGGAUGACGGCCUUCGGGUUGUAAACCUCUUUCGGUAGGGAAGAAGCGAAAGUGACGGUACCUGCAGAAGAAGCACCGGCUAACUACGUG
rnacentral:rRNA from 1 species